CCUACACAUGCAGUCGAACGAGAAAAGGGACUUCGGUCCUGAKUAUAGUGGCGCACGGGUGAGUAACACGUGACUAAUCUACCCUCGAGUGGGGAAUAACUGAGAGAAAUCUUAGCUAAUACCGCAUAACACUUACGAGUCAAAGCAGCAAUGCGCUUGGGGAGGAGGUCGCGGCCGAUUAGCUAGUUGGCGGGGUAAUGGCCCACCAAGGCGAUGAUCGGUAUCCGGCCUGAGAGGGCGCACGGACACACUGGAACUGAAACACGGUCCAGACUCCUACGGGAGGCAGCAGUGGGGAAUUUUGCGCAAUGGGGGAAACCCUGACGCAGCAACGCCGCGUGGAGGAUGAAGUAUCUCGGUACGUAAACUCCUUUCGAUGGGGAAGAUAAUGACGGUACCCAUAGAAGAAGCCCCGGCUAAMKUCGUGCCAGCAGCCGCGGUAAUACGAGGGGGGCAAGCGUUGUUCGGAUUUAUUGGGCGUAAAGGGUGCGUAGGCGGUUUGGCAAGUCUUAUGUGAAAUCCAUGGGCUCAACCCAUAGUCUGCAUGAGAAACUACCGGGCUUGAGUGAUGGAGAGGUGAGUGGAAUUUCCGGUGUAGCGGUGAAAUGCGUAGAUAUCGGAAGGAACACCUGUGGCGAAAGCGGCUCACUGGACAUUAACUGACGCUGAUGCACGAAAGCUAGGGGAGCAAACAGGAUUAGAUACCCUGGUGGUCCUAGCCCUAAACGAUGAUUGCUUGGUGUGGCAGGUACCCAAUCCUGCCGUGCCGAAGCUAACGCGAUAAGCAAUC
rnacentral:rRNA from 1 species